rnacentral:misc_RNA from 1 species
AUCUGCUGCUUCUGUUGGCCCCUAUUCUAGGACCUAUUAUACCUGGCUUGUACAUACCCACAAGAUUCUUCCGCAUGUUGCUAAACAAGUUGGCUCGAGACUUCCAUAACUACCCUGCAGUCGGAGGGCUGGUUCAAACUCUAAUGAGUUAUGUUGUCGGUGGAGACAGCUCAAAUUGGGUAGGAGUAUUAGGAUUACCACACUACAACAUGAAUGACAUGCCGGGACUUUCAUUCUAUGUAGCUCACCAUCUUGCACAAAUGAAACAUGCAAAAAAAUUUAUAAUGUAUGAUUAUGGACGUGCAUCCGCCAACAUGAAAGCAUAUGGAUCUCCAGAGCCUCUGGACUUGGGUGAAUAUUAUGG